rnacentral:rRNA from 1 species
AGCCUGAUGCAGCACGCCGCGUGAGGGAUGACGGCCUUCGGGUUGUAAACCUCUUUUAGUAGGGAAGAAGGGAAAGUGACGGUUCCUGCAGAAAAUGCACCGGCUAACUACGUGCCAGCACCCGCGGUAAUACGUAGGGUGCAAGCGUUGUCCGGAAUUAUUGGGCGUAAAGAGCUCGUACGGGGUUUGUCGCGUCUGCUGUGAAAUCCCGAGGCUCAACCUCGGGCUUGCAGUGUGUACGGGCAGACUAGAGUGCGGUAGGGGAGAUUGGAAUUCCUGGUGUAGCGGUGGAAUGCGCAGAUAUCAGGAGGAACACCGAUGGCGAAGGCAGAUCUCUGGGCCGUAACUGACGCUGAGGAGCGAAAGCAUGGGGAGCGAACAGGAUUAGAUACCCUGGUAGUCCAUGCCGUAAACUUUGGGCGCUAGAUGUAGGGACCUUUCCACGGUUUCUGUGUCGUAUCUAACGCAUUAACCGCCCCGCCUGGGGAGUACGGCCGCAAGG